rnacentral:rRNA from 1 species
CCCUUAGAUGUUCUGGGCUGCACGCGCGCUACACUGAUGUAUUCAACAAGUGUUACCUUGACCGAGAGGCCUAGGAAAUCUUUUAAAAGUGCAUCGUGAUAGGAAUAGAUUAUUGCAAUUUUUAAUCUUGAACGAGGAAUUCCUAGUAAACGCAGAUCAUCAAUCUGCAUUGAUUACGUCCCUGCCCUUUGUACACACCGCCCGUCGCACCUACCGAUUGAAUGGUCCGGUGAAGCCUCGGGAUUGUAGCAAUCUACCUUUAUUGGUGGUUUGUUGCAAGAACUUGUCUAAACCUUAUCAUUUAGAGGAAGGUGAAGUCGUAACA